AAAUGUUAACAGACUUCACUCUAACACAGCCAGCACCUGUAAUAAAGGAUGAUUUUAUCCCUCUUUUUUUAUCCCUUUCAGUUGUGUUUGGAGGUGAAGACGGUACUGAACUGCUGGGUAGGUAUAACACAAGAGCAUACAAAAACAUGGAUCCAGAGGCUCACAUGAUCGGACAGCUCUCCAAUCUGGCUCCAGUCUAAGAGAAAGGAUGGACAAAGACGAAGUUAUCACACAAAGGAAUAGAAAUAAAGCUGUGUAUUCAAAA